GUUCGGAACGUGGCUUUUAAAAAUGCGUUUUUAAAUACUGUCCUGAAGAAGUGGAGGAGAGAGCUACACAACUUAAGCGGGGCAUCCCCAUCCCAGCUGCCUGCUCACCCUCCUUUGCCCCCAGGUCCAUCUCUGCAACACCCUCCUCCCCCCAAAGAAGUCACUCGGAGGUUCUGUCUGCAGAGAGCCAGGGUGAGAACGGGGCAAAUCGAGAGAGCGACCUCGGUCGUGGGCAAGUAGCUUGUUUUUACGUCCUUCAAUAAAAUUUUUAUGAGGAUCAUUU